rnacentral:rRNA from 1 species
UACGGGGGGAGCAAGCGUUGUUCGGAUUUACUGGGCGUAAAGGGCGCGUAGGCGGCCUCCGCAAGUCAAUUGUGAAAUCUCCGGGCUUAACUCGGAAAGGUCAACUGAUACUGCGGGGCUAGAGUGCGGAAGGGGCAACUGGAAUUCUCGGUGUAGCGGUGAAAUGCGUAGAUAUCGAGAGGAACACCUGCGGCGAAGGCGGGUUGCUGGGCCGACACUGACGCUGAUGCGCGAAAGCUAGGGGAGCGAACGGG